rnacentral:rRNA from 1 species
AUUGAACGCUGGCGGCAGGCCUAACACAUGCAAGUCGAACGGAGUGGCGGACGGGUGAUUAAUGUAUGGGAAACUGCCUGAUGGAGGGGGAUAACGUCCGGAAACGGGCGCUAAUACCGCAUACUAUCAGAUGAGCCUAGGUCGGGUUAGCUAGUUGGUGGGGUAAAGGCCUACAAAGGCGACGAUCCGUAACUGGUCUGAGAGGAGGAUCAGUCACACGGGAACUGAGACACGGUCCAGACUCCUACGGGAGGCAGCAGUGGGGAAUAUUGGACAAUGGGCGAAAGCCUGAUCCAGCCAUGCCGCGUGUGUGAAGAAGGUCUUCGGAUUGUAAAGCACUUUAAGUUGGGAGGCGUUACCAACAGAAUAAGCACCGGCUAACUGCGUGCUAGCAGCCGCGGUAAUAC